rnacentral:rRNA from 1 species
ACGUAGGUGGCAAGCGUUGUCCGGAUUUACUGGGUGUAAAGGGUGCGCAGGCGGGACUGCAAGUUGGAUGUGAAAUACCGGAGCUCAACUCCGGAGCUGCAUCCAAAACUGUAGUUCUUGAGUGAAGUAGAGGUAAGCGGAAUUCCGAGUGUAGCGGUGAAAUGCGUAGAUAUUCGGAGGAACACCAGUGGCGAAGGCGGCUUACUGGGCUUUAACUGACGCUGAGGCACGAAAGCAUGGGUAGCAAACAG